rnacentral:sRNA from 1 species
GGCUGAUGCAUAGAUAGUAAGUUAUCCAAAUUGAUUGUUCAUAGUCAGCUACAGAAUUUACUGUUUUCCUCUUUUUCCCCUUCUCGCUACUGGACUUGACUAGUCUUAA